rnacentral:tRNA from 1 species
GCAUUGGUGGUUCAGUGUAGAAAUCUCACCUUCCAUGUGGGAGACCUGGGUUUGAUUCCAGCCAAUGCA